AGAGGUGACUGAGCGGUUUAAAGUGUGAAUCUGCUAAAUUCAUGUGUUGAAUUUACUUACACCAUGGGUUCAAAUCCCAUUCUCUU
rnacentral:tRNA from 1 species